GGGGAAUCUUGGUCAAUGGGCGCAAGCCUGAACCAGCGAUGCCGCGUGAGUGAUGAAGGCCUUCGGGUUGUAAAGCUCUGUGGGGAGAGAAGAAAAAAGCUUGGGCGAAUAGGCCAGGUUCUUGACGGUAUCUCCUUAGCAAGCACCGGCUAACUCUGUGCCAGCAGCCGCGGUAAGACAGAGGGUGCAAACGUUGCUCGGAAUUACUGGGCGUAAAGCGCAUGUAGGCGGACGGGAAAGUCAGAUGUGAAAUCCCUGGGUUCAACCUAGGAACUGCAUUUGAAACUUCCCGUCUUGAGUAUUGAAGAGGAUUGCGGAAUUCCUGGUGUAGAGGUGAAAUUCGUAGAUAUCAGGAGGAACACCGGUGGCGAAGGCGGCAAUCUGGGCAAUUACUGACGCUGAGAUGCGAAAGCGUGGAGAGCAAAC
rnacentral:rRNA from 1 species